rnacentral:rRNA from 1 species
CGUAGGUGGCAAGCGUUGUCCGGAUUUAUUGGGCGUAAAGCGAACGCAGGCGGGAAGAUAAGUCAGCUGUGAAAGCCCCCAGCUUAACUGGGGAACUGCAGCUGAAACUAUGUUUCUUGAGUGCAGAAGAGGAGAGUGGAACUCCAUGUGUAGCGGUGGAAUGCGUAGAUAUAUGGAAGAACACCAGUGGCGAAGGCGGCUCUCUGGUCUGUAACUGACGCUGAGGUUCGAAAGCAUGGUAGCGAACAGGAUU